GAUCCUGGCUCAGGAUGAACGCUAUCUACAGGCUUAACACAUGCAAGUCGAGGGGAAACGACAUCGAAAGCUUGCUUUUGAUGGGCGUCGACCGGCGCACGGGUGAGUAACGCGUAUCCAACCUGCCUACCACUUGGGGAUAACCUUGCGAAAGUAAGACUAAUACCCAAUGACAUCCCACGAAGACAUCUGAAAGAGAUUAAAGAUUCAUCGGUGAUGGAUGGGGAUGCGUCUGAUUAG
rnacentral:rRNA from 1 species